rnacentral:rRNA from 1 species
GUCUUCCUGUUUUUAUUGGAAGUCUGACCUGCCCAGUGAUUAUUUUAACGGCCGCGGUAUAUUGACCGUGCAAAGGUAGCAUAAUCAUUAGUCUUUUAAAAGGAGGCUGGAAUGAAAGGUUUGACGAGACAUUUACUGUCUCAGCCUUAAUUAUUAAAAUUUAACUUUUGAGUUAAAAGGCUUAAAUUUUGUUGGAAGACGAGAAGACCCUAUAGAGCUUUAUGGUUUUUUCUUUAUUUUCUUUAUAAUUAGUUUUAUUGAUUAAACUUUUUUGUUGGGGUGACAAGAAAUAUAUAUUUAACUUUUUUAUUUAUAAUACAUUUAUUUAUGAUUUAUUAGAUCCAUUAUUAGUGAUUAUUAGAGUAAGUUACCUUAGGGAUAACAGCGUAAUCUUCUUUAGGAGUUCGUAUUUGCAAGAAGGAUUGCGACCUCGAUGUUGGAUUAAGAUUAUAAUUGGGYGCAGUUGCUCAAUGGUAUAGGUCUGUUCGACCUUUAAAUUCUUACAUGAUCUGAGUUCAGACCGG